rnacentral:sRNA from 1 species
GAGACCAAAGUCAGGCCAAAAGGAACCAGCAAGUCAAAUGCCAUCAGGGGACUAAGAGCCCGAGAGGAAGUUAGGGUACAGCCUUUAUUGUCUAGAUUUCUUCAAAUGAAGUCAGUGUCCAAGAAAGGCAAACCCAUCCUGGCUGUGUUUAAGCCUAAUCCAGCCGUAGCUAGCCUGUGCCACCUGCUUUGUGUUACAUAAGCCAUAGAUUUUUGCCUCAGACAGAUUUCUGUCUUCUGUAAUCACAGAAUCAAAAUGUGAGGAAGAGAGGGACUGGCUCAUCUUUUCUCAAAGCCUUUACCGGGAAGGACUCAGAGGGCCUUGCCUCGUGUACUCCGUCCCCUUUGAGUCUGCCUCUGUCCCAGAAGAUAUUGCUGAGCACCGCAGACAUACUGUGCUCAUGGUUGGUUAGAUUAUAAUGGAAUUCAUACAAGUACAAUUACAUAUACGCCCUUUCAUGUCUGGUUUCUUUUUCUAACGUUUCUUUGACGUUCGUUUCAUUACGACUGACCAUAGCUCACCCGUUCUAUUGCAGAGCAGCACGCCAUCGUGUAGAUAGAUUCAAUCUCUGCUGAUUGACAUUUGGGUUGAGUCUAUUCCCUAGGAUCAGACAAAAGGUAUCUGCAGCCAGCAGCGACUCCGGGGGCAGUGAGCAAGCCAGCCCUUGAGGAUUCUACCUGGCUGCAGCACAGUGUACCUGGCCUCUGGGUAAAGACCAAUUCUUCAUCUCAAAAUUGUUCAGCAAGCUAUGGACACGCUUUCGAGGAGCUGGGCACACAGGGUGGAAUCCCCUGCCUCUGUGUCAGAUGACUGGAAACCACGCUACCAUUUCUAGCACCCAGAAUCACAGGGUUUUGGAGUGAGCUCAAGCAAUUGCAGACUUCCUCUUUCCACCUGCCCAGAACUCCUGCUCCACGGGUUCCAGGAGCUGGCCGCCUAGUUGCUGGAGCAGCUAGAACUGAAGCUAGCUGAUCCCAUCCUGGAGUCCUGAUAGCACACAGGGUGCUGAAACCCUGCUUCUCCCUGCCUCAGAGCUGGCCUCCUCCGUCCCUCAGCAGUCCUGCCCAGUGCUCAGGCACACACUCAACACGCAUCAGCAGGGCAUAAAUAUUUAUGACAUGCAACAAAUGCAGUGGCUUAUAGGAUUCCUGGAGCUUCAGGCGGGCGCUCUUUGCGCAAGAAGCAUUUUUAUGUGAGGAGGGGGGCAGUGGGCAGGAGAGCAGUGUGUGCAAGCAGAGACGGGGCUCUUAGCCUCCUAGAAUGUUCUGGAAGCCUGCCCUUCACUGCGGCAGCUGAGUGUUUCCAUUUGUGGGGAGGCUUGGCUGGCAGCUGCCACCAUGCUCUCUGAUAAUCCACCAGCCUUAGAAGCGUGCUCUUCAGAAGCCCCGCCCUGAUGCUACCAGAUGUUCACCAACCAGAGGACGGAGAGAAUUCCAUCUGGAAGCUGAGUCCUCAGGAGGUGGGUAGAGCACAGGGUUCCUAUUCUCAUUGUCACAAGCUUCUAGAUGGUUCUCAGAGUGGAAACCAAGGAUGGCUGCCUCUGCCCCCUACCAAAGCCCCCUUAGGGCGAUUCAACCACAUUCCCAGCACCUAGCCCCCAAGGCAAGAAAUGCAAGUACCAGCCAACUGUGGUGGUAGACAUUUGUAAUCCAAGCACCCUAGCCAGCUCCAGCAAAACUGAAGUCGUACAGUAGGACCCUGUCUCACAAAUCAAUCAAACAAACAAGGGACUGCACAUAUCUCAGACUUCCAACAAUAAACAAAGGUUCACACAUAUCUGCGUCAAUCCCUUCCCUUCUGGCCAGCCAGCAUCUCUCACUGGUGCUGUCUACUAACACCGUUUGACAUAGCUCCUCAUUGGUUCUGAGGGAGGAGGUGAGGAGUGGUGAGCAAAGCCAUGAGACAUGAGUCUUUCUGCAGAGCAGUGAAACCUGGGCCUGCAGUGGAGUCUUGCUACCCUGUGGGCCUUUUCCUGGAGGUGUCAGUGGUGGCCAAACCUGACCUGGCCUUUGAGGACCAUGCCCAGCCCAGGCUGGAGAGGAAAAUGCUUCUGUAGUGGAAGGAGGGCCUUUCAGCUGACCUCCCACAUAGCAAGAUUUAGCCAACUAUAAACUCCCCAUUCAAUCCUUCCAGCACCAGCUCUCAAGCCACUUCCACUCCCAGCACUGUCUGAACCUGCACACCUGUUCCUCCAGACUCUAACCGCUUUCCACCUGCUCCUUUAACCAAGCCAGUCUCCUCUCCCCUAACCUCUGCUGAGGAGGUGAGUAAGGAGUUGGUAGCGGUGGGGGUGGUUAGCCAAUCUUCAUGCCUCAGGGUCCCAUGGCCAGCAUAAAUCUCUCCUUCUUUCUCUUAACACCUGGCCGGCUCCUUGUCACUGUGCUAACAACAUUGUAUUGAUUUGCCCACGUGACUGCUUCCCCCAAAGACCAUAAACUCCUUGAGAGCAGAA